AGCUUUAUAGUCAAUAAUGAUAUAAAAUUGCAAAUUUUAAGGAGUAAAUAUAAUAAUACUAAGGCUU
rnacentral:tRNA from 1 species